GCCGACGUAGCUCAGCUGGUAGAGCACUUCUCUCGUAAUGAAGGGGUCCCCGGUUCGAGUCCGGGCGUCGGCU
rnacentral:tRNA from 1 species